rnacentral:rRNA from 1 species
UACGUAGGGGGCAAGCGUUGUCCGGAAUUAUUGGGCGUAAAGAGCUCGUAGGCGGUCUGUUGCGUCGGCUGUGAAAACCCGGGGCUCAACUCCGGGCCUGCAGCCGAUACGGGCAGACUAGAGUUCGGCAGGGGAGACUGGAAUUCCUGGUGUAGCGGUGAAAUGCGCAGAUAUCAGGAGGAACACCGGUGGCGAAGGCGGGUCUCUGGGCCGAUACUGACACUGAGGAGCGAAAGCGUGGGGAGCGAACAGG